CUCUAAUAGCUUAACCAUAAAGUACCGGUCUUGUAAUCCGGAGAAUGAGGGUUGGACCCCUCUUAGUGCCAGAAAAAAGAGAUUUUAACUCCCACCCC
rnacentral:tRNA from 1 species